rnacentral:rRNA from 1 species
GUCUUUUUAGUAUUUAGUAUAAAGUCUGACCUGCCCACUGAAUAAAGUUUGAAGGGCCGCAGUAUUUUGACUGUGCAAAGGUAGCAUAAUCAUUAGUCUUUUAAUUGAAGGCUGGUAUGAAUGGUUGGAUGAGGUACAAGCUGUGUCAUAAAAAUUAAUAUUUGAAUUUAACUUUUUAGUCAAAAGGCUAAAAUAUUUUUAAAAGACGAGAAGACCCUAUAGAGCUUUAUAUAAUAAAUAUUUAAAUUAUUAAGAUUUUUUAAGUUUAAUUUUUGUAUUAUAUUUUGUUGGGGUGACAAUAAAAUUUAUAAAACUUUUAUUUAUUUUUAACAUUGAUUUAUGAUUAUAUGAUCCAGUUUUAUUGAUUAUAAAUUUAAGUUACCUUAGGGAUAACAGCGUAAUUUUUUUUGAGAGUUCUUAUCGACAAAAAAGAUUGCGACCUCGAUGUUGGAUUAAGAGUAAUUUUGGGUGUAGAAGUUCAAAGUUUAAGUCUGUUCGACUUUUAAAUUCUUACAU